GAUGAACGCUAGCGGCAGGCCUAAUACAUGCAAGUCGAACGGUGUCUUCGGACAUAGUGGCGCACGGGUGCGUAACACGUAUGCAACCUACCUUACAUUGGGGGAUAGCCUUUCGAAAGGGAGAUUAAUACCGCAUAAGACAGUAGCUGGGCAUCCAGCAGCUGUUAAAGAUUUAUCGAUGUAAGCUGGGCAUGCGUCCAAUUAGCUAGUUGGUGAGGUAACGGCUCACCAAGGCAAUGAUUGGUAGGGGAACUGAGAGGUCAAUCCCCCACACUGGCACUGAUAUGCGGGCCAGACUCCUACGGGAGGCAGCAGUAGGGAAUAUUGGGCAAUGGACGCAAGUCUGACCCAGCCAUGCCGCGUGCAGGAUGAAGGCGUUAUGCGUUGUAAACUGCUUUUAUACAGGAAGAAACGACUCUUGCGAGAGGCAUUGACGGUACUGUAUGAAUAAGCACCGGCUAACUCCGUGCCAGCCGCCGCGGUAACAC
rnacentral:rRNA from 1 species